rnacentral:rRNA from 1 species
GACGAACGCUGGCGGCGUGCUUAACACAUGCAAGUCGAGCGGUAAGGCCCUUUCGGGGGUACACGAGCGGCGAACGGGUGAGUAACACGUGGGUGACCUGCCCUCAGCUCUGGGAUAAGCCUGGGAAACCGGGUCUAAUACUGGAUAUGACUCCAUGACGCAUGUUGUGGGGUGGAAAGCCUUGUGCGGCUGAGGAUGGGCCCGCGGCCUAUCAGCUUGUUGGUGGGGUGAUGGCCUACCAAGGCGACGACGGGUAGCCGGCCUGAGAGGGCGGACCGGCCGACACUGGGACGUGAGACACGGCCCAGACUCCUACGGGAGGGCAGCAGUGGGGAAGUCUUGCGCAAUGGGCGAAAGCCUGACGCAGCGACGCCGCGUGAGGGAUGAC